rnacentral:rRNA from 1 species
UUCCGUAGGUGAACCUGCGGAAGGAUCAUUAGUGAAUCCUCAAAGUCGGCUCGUCCUACUGUGCUGGUGGAGACACAUGUGCACGUUGCGAGUCGCAAAUCCCACACACCUGUGAAUCUAUGACUCUGAGUCUGCCGCUUUGCAUGGCCUUGAUCGGCCUGGCGACUCGAGUACUUUUACACACUCUUGAAUGUAAUGGAAUGUCUAUUGUGCAUAAUGUACAAAUGAAACAACUUUCAACAACGGAUCUCUUGGCUCUCGCAUCGAUGAAGAACGCAGCGAAAUGCGAUAAGUAAUGUGAAUUGCAGAAUUCAGUGAAUCAUCGAAUCUUUGAACGCACCUUGCACCCUUUGGUAUUCCGAAGGGUACACCCGUUUGAGUGUCAUUGUAAUCUCACUACAUUCGACUUUGUGUCGCUUGUAUGUGGACUUGGAUGUUGCCGUGGAUUUCCACGGCUCGUCUGAAAUGCCUGAGUGUACCCCAUUUUGCGGCGUAUUCGGUGUGAUACAUCUUCACCGGAGUUGAUCCUUUCGGGUCGCGUCAGUAUGAGUGUGGCUCUAUGCUUCCAACCGUCCCUUUAUAAGGACAAUCUCUUGACAAUUUGACCUCAAAUCGGGUGGGACUACCCGCUGAACUUAAGCAUAUCAAUAAGCGGAGGAAAAGAAACUAACAAGGAUUCCCCUAGUAACGGCGAGUGAAGAGGGAAAAGCUCAAAUUUUAAAUCUGGUAUCUUUGGUGCCCGAGUUGUAAUCUAGAGAAGUGUUUUCCGCGUUGGACCGUGUACAAGUUCCCUGGAACGGGGCGUCAUAGAGGGUGAGAAUCCCGUAUAUGCCACGGACUACCAUUGCUAUGUGAUACACUCUCAACGAGUCGAGUUGUUUGGGAAUGCAGCUCAAAAUGGGUGGUAAAUUCCAUCUAAAGCUAAAUAUUGGCGAGAGACCGAUAGCGAACAAGUACCGUGAGGGAAAGAUGAAAAGCACUUUGGAAAGAGAGUGAAACAGUACGUGAAAUUGUUGAAAGGGAAGCGUUUGAAGUCAGUCAUGUCUGGCGGGAUUCAACUUGGGCUUCUGCCCGGUGUACUUUCCGUCCGAUGGGUCAGCAUCAAUUUCGACCGAGGGAAAAAGAUGUGGGGAAUGUGGCUGUCUUCGGGCAGUGUUAUAGCCCCGCAUUGUAUGCCUCGGUUGGGAUUGAGGAACGCAGCGCGCCUAUAGGCCAGGGGCUACCCGCCUCUUGACACGCGCUUAGGAUGCUGGCAUAAUGGCUUUAAGCGACCCGUCUUG